rnacentral:rRNA from 1 species
GGGUCAGUAGGUUGGUCGUGCCACCGGUACGUACUGGUCUCACUGAUUCCUCCUUCCUGAAGAACCGUAAUGCCAUUAAUUUGGUGUUGCGGGGAAACAGGACUGUUACUUUGAAAAAAUUAGAGUGUUUAAAGCAAGCUAACGCUUGAAUACAUUAGCAUGGAAUAAUGGAAUAGGACGAUCGAUCCUAUUCUAUUGGUUUCUAGGAUUGACGUA